GACUUUUAAAAUAGAGACCAACGUGGCCGGGCAGGAAGAGCAGGGUCCCGCCUUCAGGUGUUUGGGACUCAGCUGAGGGUGUGGGUGCCCCGCGGUGGGGGCUGAACCUUCCUGGGGUGUGGAGAGACGAAAGGAGCCCAGAUCCAAGUUCCCUCGUUCCCGCUUUGGCAUAAGUUGCCCUGGCGGUCUCAUGAGAGAGAGAAAGAGCUGGGACCCUCCUCGCCCCAGUGAGUGUGAUGUCUUGCUCCGGGUGUCCUGGGGCAACUUUCUAUACAGGCGGGACGUGGGAGGAUCAGACAGUGUAACAUCAGACAAGGGUGUUGACUCUGCAGCACAGAACCAGUAGUUUGUGGAGAAGAAUGGAGGUGUGGUGUUGAAUCUGCUAGACAGGCUACUGAAGCAAAAGUCAAGAGAUCCAGAUUCCAUCAUGGGGACACUUUAGAUUGAUAUUGGAAAAGCCAUUUCCUAUUGAGCCCAAAAUGAAGAGAGUGCAAAUAAAGAGAAGGCAGGGAUCACAAGCCCUUGACAGACACAUUGCCACCUACAGGACCCUGCACCCAGAUUUCAUCUGCACAAUCAGCUUCUUCAAAGAGAGAGAGGCUGUUGAGUUAGUACCCAUGAGGGCACAAUACUAGAAAUGUGUAAAACUAUAAGUUUUUAAGUCCUAGAAAGUCAUCAUCUGUAAAUGAGACUUUUGGGUAUGCUUUGGGGAGGUUAAGCGGUAGAAUCCCAUUUCUGCUCCAUAUUAGAUGAAUCUGAAAAAAUUGAUUUUCCAUCAGUGAGUUUGAUUUUGUCAUCUGUAAAUUGAGAAUAAUUAUGCCUUCCUCACAGAGUCAUUGUGAGAAAAUUAUGCAAAAAUGUAAUUGUUUGUACAUGUUUAUCUAUAUAUGUGUCAUAAAAAAAUGUGCCCUUUUGCACUUUUUUUCUCUUAAAAUAGUGUUUCUGAGAUAUCUGUAAAUAAGACAACUUUGAGGCUAUUUUGAUAUUUUUAGCCAUGCUGCUGUGACCAUUCUUACACAAGAG
rnacentral:lncRNA from 10 species